rnacentral:rRNA from 1 species
AACGCGUGAGUAACCUGCCCUGGAGUGGGGGACAACAGUUGGAAACGACUGCUAAUACCGCAUAAGCCCACGGCCCGGCAUCGGGCUGAGGGAAAAGGAUUUAUUCGCUUCAGGAUGGACUCGCGUCCAAUUAGCUAGUUGGUGAGGUAACGGCCCACCAAGGCGACGAUUGGUAGCCGGACUGAGAGGUUGAACGGCCACAUUGGGACUGAGACACGGCCCAGACUCCUACGGGAGGCAGCAGUGGGGGAUAUUGCACAAUGGGGGAAACCCUGAUGCAGCGACGCCGCGUGGAGGAAGAAGGUUUUCGGAUUGUAAACUCCUGUCGUUAGGGACGAUAAUGACGGUACCUAACAAGA